GGUAGGACUACCCGCUGAACUUAAGCAU
rnacentral:rRNA from 4 species